UUGGUUUCAUUGAUGAAACGCACCGACUGCCCAGCGCCACUCCUCAUCCAUAUGCGUGCCUUAUCCACACCGUCACUUCCCCUUCUCACUCACCGCUGCUCCUCCUCUUCUCCAGCCACUAUCACCCAGUGAUGCUCUUCCUCUUCUACACGCAUUGCAUGGACGAUGCACUCCACUCUCCUGGAGUGCACGCCGCCAUGGUUGCUGGCCAGAGCCAAGGCAGCACCCCUUAUCAGCGCGAGGAACCCAGAGACGCCAUGGAUGGCGCCAUGGAUGCUCCUCUGCCGUUGGUCUGAUCUGGCCGUCCCGCCCCAGUCGUCGGCCCGCUCCGGAUCCGGCCAGCAGCCUUGCCUCCGAUCCGACUCGGAUGGCCCUGCCUACAGCCUCCGCCACCUGCGGCAUGCCCCCCAGAGGUCCGACUGAUCUAGCCUGUCCACGAAGUCCAGCCGGCCCUCCUCCCGGGCGCGUUCCUCGGCCGUUGCCAUGUGCUCGGCCAACAACUUCGUUGAACUGGGCAGCAUCAACCCCCUUUUCCCUGUCGGUGAGGAACUCCAGCAGAGGAUGGACUGUGUUUUGGAGCUCCUCGAUCUGGCCUCCCCCGCUCAGUUGCCGCUCCAUGCUCCGGAUCUGGCCACAGUAGGCCUCGCCCCCGACGACCAACAGGCUCAGAUCCAUCCCUUCCCUCCUCCUGUCCUCCACAUGCGUAGGGGCUGUGGCGCCAGAUCAAGGGAGCCUGCCAAUGGAGGUCACCGCAUCUCCGUCUCGUUCCGUCCGCCGCCGGAUCCACCACGUUGUGCCAUGGAUGGGCGCCUUGCAGCUCCUCCUCCCGUCACCUAAUCUGCCUGCCCGCCCGUGCUCCAGAUCCGGCUAACAGCCUCGCCUCCGACCCGAUUCAGACAGGCGCCCACACAAUCUCACUCCGCCACCUGCGCCUCAGGUCUGACCGAUCCUGCAUCGCUCAUCCUCGCUGCUUUUCUUGUUUAAGUUAGCCCCGCUGUUUCUUUUGCUCGCAGCUUGCGAGGAGGCUAGGGCGCGCCUUGUCCAGCCGCGGGCUACCUGCUGUGUCAGUCAGCCCAGCCGCCUCGACCCGGCCUUCUCCUUCUCCGCCCCCAGCUCUAGGCCUCAAACAACUCCCACUUUUUGUAAAUCCUCCGUAGAGCAAGGGGCACCGGUGGUGGUGGUGUUCGCUCGGUGGACUCUGUUCCAUUUUCUUUGCUCCUUCACGCUUUGGCGAUUCCUUCUGUUCCCUUUCUCUGCUUGUUUUGAUUUCUAAUGUGGCUUGUUGAUUCUCAUGGCAACUCCGAGGGACUGUUAUGCAAAAUCGCGCACGACGACAUAUCGACGAAGGCGAUCUUAUGGAUGAAGAGUACGAUAGCGAGUCUGACGCCUAGAGGAGUCCCAGUCAGUCCCGUGCGAUUCCUGGAAUUGGUCACUUGUAUCAUAUACGCUUCCGCUACCCGAAUAAAAUCAUCGAGCCACACUCCAGCGCUCAAUGAGCUGUAAGAUUUAGGAGUCAUGUCACCCAUGUCACUGUGACAUAUCCACCACCACUUUUAUUACGAGUCAGUAGUUAUACCACCAUACUCCUCGUGUCAUAUCUGCCUUUAUGUAUAAUAGCAGUGAGCUUGUAAUAAAUUGUUGAGCAGCCUCAGCUCAACCUUGUAUAAUGUUUAGUGCUACUGGAUUUCUGUAUCAA